rnacentral:rRNA from 2 species
UUAUCUGGGUUGAGGACAGUGCCUGGUGGGUAGUUUGACUGGGGCGGUCUCCUCCCAAAGAGUAACGGAGGAGCACGAAGGUGGGCUAAUCACGGUUGGACAUCGUGAGGUUAGUGCAAUGGCAUAAGCCCGCUUAACUGCGAGAAUGACGGUUCGAGCAGGUGCGAAAGCAGGUCAUAGUGAUCCGGUGGUUCUGUAUGGAAGGGCCAUCGCUCAACGGAUAAAAGGUACUCCGGGGAUAACAGGCUGAUACCGCCCAAGAGUUCAUAUCGACGGCGGUGUUUGGCACCUCGAUGUCGGCUCAUCACAUCCUGGGGCUGAAGUCGGUCCCAAGGGUAUGGCUGUUCGCCAUUUAAAGUGGUACGCGAGCUGGGUUUAGAACGUCGUGAGACAGUUCGGUCCCUAUCUGCCGUGGGCGUUGGAAGAUUGAAGGGGGCUGCUCCUAGUACGAGAGGACCGGAGUGGACGAACCUCUGGUGUUCGGGUUGUGUCGCCAGACGCAUUGCCCGGUAGCUAAGUUCGGAAUUGAUAAGCGCUGAAAGCAUCUAAGCGCGAAGCGAGCCCUGAGAUGAGUCUUCCCUGACAGUUUAACUGUCCUAAAGGGUUGUUCGAGACUAGAACGUUGAUAGGCAGGGUGUGUAAGCGUUGUGAGGCGUUGAGCUAACCUGUACUAAUUGCCCGUGAGGCUUAACCAUACAACACCCAAGG